UAGGAUGCCCCCAGUCCUAUAUAGUGAGAACAGCUGAGAGGUGUGAUUUGAGAGGCUGGCUUCCCCUGUCACCAGACUGAUUGGGCAGGACAGGAGGUGCAGGAGAGGCCUGGGGCUUCUAAGCGACACCGACAGGUGGGCAGCCGUUGCGGAGGAGGCGGCCCGGGGGAUAGAUAAGGACAGGGUGUGAGGCCUGGCCUGGAUACCGUCCAGGAGCAGUUACACUGACGGGAGCAGCGACCCUGGAGAAGGAGAGCAAGGAGGGAGAGAACAGGCAACAUAAACCAGGCCAGUAGGCAAUUCCUGAAGUGUUCCCUUAAAACCCAGCAAAUCCAGAAAAGGGCAUCGCCUCGGUGAGACCAUCACUGCCUUUCUGAAAUUUUUCUGCUAUUAUAGAAAUGUCAGUACUUGAGCAGCAGAAUCAUCCCUCAAAAGGAUAUUUAAGAUUCCCAGCCUUUAAAGGUUAGGAGGCCAACUUGGUUCUUCCAGCAAACAUAGUACAAGUGAGAGGUUUGCCUUAAUCUCGGAAAAUGCCUACCUGCCUUCGAUCUCUUGUCCAUUAUAUUGUCACAGCGCAGAACGACAAGAAAGACAUUUUCUGACAUUAAAUGUAUGAAUGCAAUCUUUGGCACCAGUAAGGUUCAUGGGAUUGAGUGUGCAUGUUCAUCAAUUUAUUUUGGAAGCAAGAUGUAGUAUAUUGUUUUAACUAUAUAGGACAUGCUUUUUUAAAUACUCAAUCAAACACAUAAACAUGGACUUUGAAUUAUAAAUUAAAGCAAUAAUACAUGUAAAAAUUACAUUAAACUGUGACCAGAUAACUAGUUGCCACUAAGUUUUGACAUUAUGGAUUUUAUUUCACUAUGACCUGCUCUGAUAAUGUCGUACGCAUCUCUUGGGAUUAAGUGGCAUUGAAAUAGGACAUUGUGUCCAGUUGUUACCCUCUAAGAUGACACACUUCCUUAUGUCCCCAUAUAUACAAAUCAAAUAUGGAAUGUAAGGAAGUGUGUGGUUUCGGGGGGAUUUUUCCUUCAGGGAAGUUGUAACGCAUUAUAUAUGACCUCAGACUCUGCAUUGACUCCAUAUUGAUAUGACACCUAACUUAACUGAUAAAGGCCAAUAUGGAUAAUGGACUCAUUGAUGGACUUUGUCUUCAUUCUUAAUCCAAGCAAAUACCUCCCUUUUAGCAAGCAUGGGGGGGGGGGGGCAAUUGAGCUUGGACCCCAGCGGUAUUUUUUAUCCUUACUUGGGAGUUUUUGUUGCCUCACCUCUGUUUUCUUCUUUAUUUAAUUUCUUUCCUUCCUUUUUCCCGUUCUGUAUCUCUCUCUAAUGAUGUUUUAUGUAUCACAACACGUCCAUGUAGAGCGCUUUGGGACAACUCUGUUGUGAAAGGCACUAUAUAGAAAUAAAUUGAAUUGAAUAAUCAGUAAUUAAGAUGGGAUAAAAUGAAGUUAUAUUAAUGAUGCAGACUUGUUGGUAAUUCCUGUCAUUAAUUGUGCUGUCCCACAAGAGCCCAGAGAAAAUGAAGCGUAAUAUGAAACUAUGCUGUUAGUUGGAAACAUGUCAAAUAUGCUGUUCUAAUGUUUGAUGACAUUUGUAAAGUGAACCCUGAUCAAAGCGCUUUUAUGGAAUGCGGGCUUGCAGGUUGUAUAAGGAAAUGACUUUGUCAGUGUCCACUGUCAAAAUUCAAACCAAUCACAAGCUGGCAGCUUUGAAUGAUCUGUUCAGGAAUUCUGGGUAAAGAAAUGUAGAUGAUGCAAACUAUAAAACAUAAGAGUAGGCAGUCAAAAUGAUGAGUUCUAGUGAUUUCAGAUCGGUGCAGUGAUUUUAAUGCAUUACAGCCUGAACCAAAGGCUUCUAUUAUCAAAGUCUCGGAAGCAGCACGUCUUGCUCUGGCUGGUAAAACGGAACCAAGUCGGACGUUUCUGUGAGGUUUGGUCCCCUUCAACCAGCUACUGCGGCGUGACGUCUUCUAACGAGGCAGGCUCUGACAUUUCAGCAAGACUGCAGCCACAAACGAGCAGGUAAAUGAUUCUGAAUGGGGCUUUCAACACCACAAAAUGGUGUUAAUAGCCUGUGGAAAAACCUGAAAGAUCUGACUACUGUGUAGCCUUGCUGAUUGCCGCUUUUGGCUUUUUUUUAUUCACAAGUAAUUUUUCUCAUAUUUUUAAAUAAAGUCAAUUCUAGAAGAUGG